rnacentral:rRNA from 1 species
UCUGCUGUUAAAAGUGGAGCUUAACUCCAUCGUGGCAGUGGAAACUGUUGGGCUACUUUUUGGUAGGGGCAGAGGGAAUUCCCGGUGUAGCGGUCAUAUAAGUAGAUAUCGGGAAGAACACCAGUGGCGAAGGCGCUCUGCUGGGCCAUAACUGACGCUCAUGGACGAAAGCCAGGGGAGCGAAAGGGAUUAGAUACCCCUGUAGUCCUGGCCGUAAACGAUGAACACUAGGUGUCGGGGGAAUCGACCCCCUCGGUGUCGUAGCCAACGCGUUAAGUGUUCCGCCUGGGGAGUACGCACGCAAGUGUGAAACUCAAAGGAAUUGACGGGGGCCCGCACAAGCGGUGGAGUAUGUGGUUUAAUUCGAUGCAACGCGAAGAACCUUACCAGGGUUUGUCAUCCUGCGAAUCUCCUGGAAACGGGAGAGUGCCUUCGGGAACGCAGUGACAGGUGGUGCAUGGCUGUCGUCAGCUCGUGUCGUGAGAUGUUGGGUUAAGUCCCGCAACGAGCGCAACCCACGUCUUUAGUUGCCAGCAUUCAGUUGGGCACUCUAGAGAGACCGCCGGUGAUAAACCGGAGGAAGGUGUGGAUGACGUCAAGUCAUCAUGCCCCUUACAUCCUGGGCUACACACGUACUACAAUGCUACGGACAAAGGGCAGCAAACUCGCGAGAGCUAGCAAAUCCCAUAAACCGUGGCUCAGUUCAGAUCGUAGGCUGCAACUCGCCUACGUGAAGGAGGAAUCGCUAGUAAUCGCAGGUCAGCAUACUGCGGUGAAUACGUUCCCGGGCCUUGUACCACCGCCCGUCACACCAUGGAAGUUGGCACGCCCCGAACCGUUACUCCACCCCUGUGGAGGAGACGUCGAAGGGGGGGCUGAUGACUGGGGUGAAUCGUAACAG